rnacentral:rRNA from 1 species
AGCGAACGCUGGCGGCAGGCUUAACACAUGCAAGUCGAACGGGCAUAGCAAUAUGUCAGUGGCAGACGGGUGAGUAACGCGUGGGAACGUACCUUUUGGUUCGGAACAACACAGGGAAACUUGUGCUAAUACCGGAUAAGCCCUUACGGGGAAAGAUUUAUCGCCGCAAGAUCGGCCCGCGUCUGAUUAGCUAGUUGGUAGGGUAAUGGCCUACCAAGGCGACGAUCAGUAGCUGGUCUGAGAGGAUGAUCAGCCACAUUGGGACUGAGACACGGCCCAAACUCCUACGGGAGGCAGCAGUGGGGAAUAUUGGACAAUGGGCGAAAGCCUGAUCCAGCCAGGCCGCGUGAGUGAUGAAGGCCCUAGGGUUGUAAAGCUCUUUUGUGCGGGAAGAUAAUGACGGUACCGCAAGAAUAAGCCCCGGCUAACUUCGUG